GACGAACGCUGGCGGCGCGCCUCAUACAUGCAAGUCGAACGUGAAGCCCGGAGCUUGCUCCGGGUGGAAAGUGGCGAACGGGUGAGGAACACGUGAGGAACCUGCCCCGAAGACCGGGAUAACACCGGGAAACCGGUGCUAAUACCGGAUGCCCUCAUCGGAUCUCGUGGUCCGAUGAGGAAAUGGAUUCCGCUUCGGGAUGGCCUCGCGGCCUAUCAGCUUGUUGGUGGGGUAACGGCCCACCAAGGCUUCGACGGGUAGCUGGUCUGAGAGGAUGUCCAGCCACACUGGGACUGAUACACGGCCCAGACCCCUACGGGAGGCAGCAGUAGGGAAUCUUGCGCAAUGGGCGAAAGCCUGACGCAGCGACGCCGCGUGCGGGAUGAAGGCCCUCGGGUCGUAAACCGCUUUCAGCAGGGACGAAAUUGACGGUACCUGCAGAAGAAGCCCCGGCCAACUACGUGCCAGCAGCCGCAGUAA
rnacentral:rRNA from 1 species